rnacentral:rRNA from 1 species
CUACGGGCGGCUCCAGUGAGGAAUAUUGCACAAUGGGGGGAACCCUGAUGCAGCAACGCCGCGUGGAGGAUGACGCAUUUCGGUGUGUAAACUCCUUUUAUAUGUCAAGAAAAUGACGGUAGCAUAUGAAUAAGCACCGGCUAACUCCGUGCCGGCAGCCGCGGUAGUACGGAGGGUGCAAGCGUUACUCGGAAUCACUGGGCGUAAAGGACGCGUAGGCGGGUUGGAAAGUCAGGUGUGAAAUCCUACAGCUUAACUGUAGAACUGCACUUGAAACUUCUAAUCUAGAGUAUGGGAGGGGGAGAUGGAAUUAGUGGUGUAGGGGUAAAAUCCGUAGAUAUCACUAGGAAUACCUAAAGCGAAGGCGAUCUCCUGGAACAUUACUGACGCUAAGGCGUGAAAGCGUGGGGAGCAAACAGGAUUAGAUACCCGAGUAGUC